GACGAACGCUGGCGGCGUGCUUAACACAUGCAAGUCGAACGGUGAACCCGCUUCGGUGGGGGAUCAGUGGCGAACGGGUGAGUAACACGUGGGCAACCUGCCCCCGGCUCUGGGAUAACCCCAAGAAAUUGGGGCUAAUACCGGAUAUGACCGCUGACCGCAUGGUCUGGUGGUGGAAAGAUUUAUCGGCUGGGGAUGGGCCCGCGGCCUAUCAGCUUGUUGGUGGGGUAGUGGCCUACCAAGGCGACGACGGGUAGCCGGCCUGAGAGGGUGACCGGCCACACUGGGACUGAGACACGGCCCAGACUCCUACGGGAGGCAGCAGUGGGGAAUAUUGCGCAAUGGGCGGAAGCCUGACGCAGCGACGCCGCGUGGGGGAUGACGGCCUUCGGGUUGUAAACCUCUUUCAGCAGGGACGAAGCCGCAAGGUGACGGUACCUGCAGAAGAAGCACCGGCCAACUACGUGCCAGCCGCCGCAGUAACAC
rnacentral:rRNA from 1 species